UGGGGCAAGUAUAAACACAACAUUCAAGCUGGAAACAGCUCUGAAUUUUGGAUUGUGAUUAAAUAGUUGACACAGCAUAGGUUUCUGACACAGAAUGAAUGUUGUCUAAUGAACUUAAAAUAUUUAUUUGCUUUUUGAGCAAUUUACUAUGCUGUUGAAUAUUAAUUCUCUCAAAGAAAAAAUAUUUGAAGAAAUUUUCUUUUUAAAUUCUG
rnacentral:lncRNA from 1 species